UUCAAUUUUACCCAUACGUGAAAUUACGCAGAAAGGUCUCAUGAAUACUGGACUUUCUGGUCAUGGAGUUGGAGAAAAGCAAAUUCAUUGCCAAGCCUCAAAUUCGAUAGUGAGAUUGAGUUUGGUUUCGACUUCAACACCUCUGGCAACUCCAAUCUCGCCAUCUUCUUCCAAUACUUUGGUUCAGAAGAAGAUGGUCAGUUCCUUUUCUUCAACCCCUUUUUGUUGUCUUCAUAGGUUGUUCAAUUGAUUGACUUUUGAACUUUUUUUCUUGUAAAAACCCAAUGAACCCAAGCCAAGGCCACCAAAAUCAUUGUCAAAAUUGUUGUCUUCAAACCCAAAGGAGAUUGAGAUUGAGAUUGCAGAGGUGUUGUAUGGCUUGAUGACCCAAUCGCAAGGCCCUUCGAAGAAAGAAAUUGUUGGGAGCAACAACGAUUCAGCCAAGUUCGAUUUGAGUGAGGUGAACAAAUCGAGUAGUGAUGCGAAAUAGAGAGUUUCGUCUCCAUCCACAUCGACUGCGCCUUAGUCAACGGCUAUGUUUAAUCUCAAACUCUACAUUUUUUAGUUUAGGAUUAGUUUUGGUAGUAUAAUUGGUGCAAUAAGAAUCAUAUUUUUUAGUGACGAAAUGAGAUAAGAGGUGUAAAGAGUUAAAAUAAUAGUAUAAGUAGAAUUAUUUUUUAUUUUAUUGACUUUUUAAUUUAUUUUAUUUUUUGUAUAAUUAUUUUAACUCCCAAUUAACCUGCAAACAAAGCCAUAAUCAUAUGUGUCGUUUUUAUUAACAGAAAAGUUAAAUGAAAGAAAUUCAUGUAACUGAACACACAAUAGACACAAAUUAUGGGUUCCACACACAAAAUAAAAAAAUAAAAAAAAUAGUAGGCUCCACCCCUUGUGUCUGUUAUGUAAUAAUAGAAGAGAUUUACAUAAUUAAACAUAGAAUAAAUACAAGUGAUGACCUAUAUCCCAUGUUUACCAGAAGAGAUUCACAUAAUUAAACAAAAAAUAGAAGCAGGUGGUGGGUCCCACACAAAGGAUGAGUGGGCCCACUCCUGUGCUUGUUAUGUAAUUAAUUGGAUAAAGAAAAUUGUUUGAGGACUCGAAUACUUUGGCUCGAUUGGCCCGAAAACGUGGGCCUACGCCUAUCUCGUCCUUUGUCUUCAUUUUUCUUCUUCUUAUACCCAAACUAUCUCGCCUUCUAUCCUCAUUUUUGUUCUCAUACCCAAACUCUCAAACUCUCUCUCUAUUGCUCUAUUUGUCAUCGUUUUUCCGAAUCAUUCGAGUCUAUCUCCUCCGAAACGACGACGAAAAGAAGUUAUUCUGUCACCUCCUCUCUCCUCCCAAUCUCAGGAAAACAGCUGCAAUGUAUAUUGUACGAACCAAUGAGAAUGAAAAUUAAGGGCGUCUCUUUUUUGUUUGCCCAUCCAAAUAUAGUAAGAGUAACAAAGAACACUGCAAUUACUUCAAGUUUGCGGACGAUGAUGAUGGGGCCAUUACCUCGACAAUCCAUUCCAAUAGUGGACCUCGUAAAGCUAUCCGAACAGAAGAAUUGAAUGAUGUUAGGGCAAGGCCUUCUGAGAUGGAAAAUGAAAUACAUGACCAUGGUAGAAAGCUUCAAAGGAUGGACAACAAAUUCAAGGCUAUGAUUUAUGUGAUUGUAGUUUGUAUCGUUUUGUACCUUAUU